CCUUCGUUCGCCAUCAAAAAGUAAUUAGCGAGACGAAGUGAUAUACAGUCCACAAAUCAAUUAUAACAAGUUCAAGUGCGACAGUUUCAAUCGGUGCGACAAACUGUUCUAAAAGUACGGGUGCCUGAGAAUUGGCCGGUUAAAUUUGAAAAUUCCGAGGAGUGGAAAUAGUUUGGUUCAUGGAAAUUAAAAUCGUCAAAUCCACUAAUUCAAAGAAAAAACCGAAAAUCGUUGGACAAUAGCCGUCGAAGAAAAGUUCUUGUGCGCAGAGUGGUACAAGGUCACUGAGUUGGUGGGAAUUUCCAGUUGAAAUUCGUUCGACGAAGAUAUUACGGCAAAGCAAGAUCAGCGAGUUGGUGGGAAUUUCCAGUUGAAAUUCGUCGAAGAAAAGUUGCUGUGCGCAGAGUGGUACAAGGUCACCGAGUUGGUGGGAAUUUCCAGUUGAAAUUCGUCGAAGAAAAGUUGCUGUGCGCAGAGUGGUACAAGGUCACUGAGUUGGUGGGAAUUUCCAGUUGAAAUUCGUUCGACACAGGGUCAUCACACAUAUACCGUUCCGAAGCAGUCUCGAAGUAAGCCAAUCGAUUGGAACAGUGAAAGGGGUCAUCAAACGUUGAGCGCCAGGCAGUAUUCAGAUCCAGAUGCAUAAAGUUCCAGUACCUUUAAGAGGGCCGUUUUAUAUCCCUAGUAUUGCCCAAUCAUCGUCACUAGGGUGAUGCAAAAGGGAAGUUAAAGAAAAUUUCAUUUCACAAUUCACAUGAUGCUUACCGCAUAACACAUUUUCAGUAGAUUUGGUAGUAGCUGCAGUUUCAUAUUCCAAUGGUGGUAGGCAGCCGGGCAGUCAAUUAUUCCACUGGUCCAGACGAUCAACAAUUUAAUCCACUGGUCCAGACGAUCAACAAUUUAAUCAAUUGGUCCAGACGAUCAUC